rnacentral:rRNA from 1 species
UACAGAGGGUGCGAGCGUUAAUCGGAAUUACUGGGCGUAAAGCGUGCGCAGGCGGUUCGUUGUGUCGGCGGUGAAAGCCCCGGGCUCAACCUGGGAAUGGCCGUUGAAACUGGCGAACUGGAGUGUGGCAGAGGGGGGUGGAAUUCCGCGUGUAGCAGUGAAAUGCGUAGAGAUGCGGAGGAACACCGAUGGCGAAGGCAAUCCCCUGGGCCUGCACUGACGCUCAUGCACGAAAGCGUGGGGAGCAAACAGG